AGCGAACGCUGGCGGCAGGCCUAACACAUGCAAGUCGAACGGAUCCUUCGGGAUUAGUGGCGGACGGGUGAGUAACACGUGGGAACGUGCCCUUUGGUUCGGAACAACUCAGGGAAACUUGAGCUAAUACCGGAUGUGCCCUUCGGGGGAAGAUUUAUCGCCAUUGGAGCGGCCCGCGUCUGAUUAGCUAGUUGGUGGGGUAAAGGCCCACCAAGGCGACGAUCAGUAGCUGGUCUGAGAGGAUGAUCAGCCACAUUGGGACUGAGACACGGCCCAAACUCCUACGGGAGGCAGCAGUGGGGAAUCUUGCGCAAUGGGCAAAAGCCUGACGCAGCCAUGCCGCGUGAAUGAUGAAGGUCUUAGG
rnacentral:rRNA from 1 species